rnacentral:misc_RNA from 1 species
GAUGAAGAACGUAGCGAAAUGCGAUAAGUAAUGUGAAUUGCAGAAUUCAGUGAAUCAUCGAAUCUUUGAACGCACCUUGCGCUCCUUGGUAUUCCGAGGAGCAUGCCUGUUUGAGUGUCAUUAAUAUAUCAACCUCUUCAGCUUAUGCUUGUUGAGUGUUGGAUGGUGGGGGUUUGCUGGUGUCUUAUGAAGUCAGCUCCUCUGAAAUGCAUUAGCGGAACAAUUUGUUGACCGUUCAUUGGUGUGAUAAAAAUAUCUACGCUAUUGACGUCAGUCAGUUCAGCUUCUAACAGUCCAUUGACUUGGACAAAUUUUUCAUUAAUGUUACCUCAAAUCAGGUAGGACUACCCGCUGAACUUAAGCAUAUCAAUAAGCGGAGUA